AUAAAUCCAAGGCGCUAAAUAUAU
rnacentral:siRNA from 1 species